AUCACUCCACUCUAUGACAUUUACAGCAUUCAAACUUGCCAGUGGAAUGAUGAUACCAUUGUCAUGGCUGAAAGAAAACCAUGGUGCAUUAUUAAUCUCAGGUUUAGGCAGAUUGUGCUGCCCCAGGGACAACUGUGCUCAUAACAAUUCGUGCCCACCAUCUGAAUUCCUUGAAGGACAUAACCCCAUUAUAAAAUUGGAAAA